AAUUGAAGAGUUUGAUCAUGGCUCAGAUUGAACGCUGGCGGCAGGCCUAACACAUGCAAGUCGAACGGUAACAGGAAGCAGCUUGCUGCUUCGCUGACGAGUGGCGGACGGGUGAGUAAUGUCUGGGAAACUGCCUGAUGGAGGGGGAUAACUACUGGAAACGGUGGCUAAUACCGCAUAACGUCGCAAGACCAAAGAGGGGGACCUUCGGGCCUCUUGCCAUCAGAUGUGCCCAGAUGGGAUUAGCUUGUUGGUGAGGUAACGGCUCACCAAGGCGACGAUCCCUAGCUGGUCUGAGAGGAUGACCAGCCACACUGGAACUGAGACACGGUCCAGACUCCUACGGGAGGCAGCAGUGGGGAAUAUUGCACAAUGGGCGCAAGCCUGAUGCAGCCAUGCCGCGUGUAUGAAGAAGGCCUUCGGGUUGUAAAGUACUUUCAGCGGGGAGGAAGGUGUUGUGGUUAAUAACCGCAGCAAUUGACGUUACCCGCAGAAGAAGCACCGGCUAACUCCGUGCCAGCAGCCGCGGUAAUACGGAGGGUGCAAGCGUUAAUCGGAAUUACUGGGCGUAAAGCGCACGCAGGCGGUCUGUCAAGUCGGAUGUGAAAUCCCCGGGCUCAACCUGGGAACUGCAUUCGAAACUGGCAGGCUUGAGUCUUGUAGAGGGGGGUAGAAUUCCAGGUGUAGCGGUGAAAUGCGUAGAGAUCUGGAGGAAUACCGGUGGCGAAGGCGGCCCCCUGGACAAAGACUGACGCUCAGGUGCGAAAGCGUGGGGAGCAAACAGGAUUAGAUACCCUGGUAGUCCACGCCGUAAACGAUGUCUACUUGGAGGUUGUGCCCUUGAGGCGUGGCUUCCGGAGCUAACGCGUUAAGUAGACCGCCUGGGGAGUACGGCCGCAAGGUUAAAACUCAAAUGAAUUGACGGGGGCCCGCACAAGCGGUGGAGCAUGUGGUUUAAUUCGAUGCAACGCGAAGAACCUUACCUGGUCUUGACAUCCACGGAAGUUUUCAGAGAUGAGAAUGUGCCUUCGGGAACCGUGAGACAGGUGCUGCAUGGCUGUCGUCAGCUCGUGUUGUGAAAUGUUGGGUUAAGUCCCGCAACGAGCGCAACCCUUAUCCUUUGUUGCCAGCGGUCCGGCCGGGAACUCAAAGGAGACUGCCAGUGAUAAACUGGAGGAAGGUGGGGAUGACGUCAAGUCAUCAUGGCCCUUACGACCAGGGCUACACACGUGCUACAAUGGCGCAUACAAAGAGAAGCGACCUCGCGAGAGCAAGCGGACCUCAUAAAGUGCGUCGUAGUCCGGAUUGGAGUCUGCAACUCGACUCCAUGAAGUCGGAAUCGCUAGUAAUCGUGGAUCAGAAUGCCACGGUGAAUACGUUCCCGGGCCUUGUACACACCGCCCGUCACACCAUGGGAGUGGGUUGCAAAAGAAGUAGGUAGCUUAACCUUCGGGAGGGCGCUUACCACUUUGUGAUUCAUGACUGGGGUGAAGUCGUAACAAGGUAACCGUAGGGGAACCUGC
rnacentral:rRNA from 1 species